UACGGCGAGUGAAGCGGCAAAAGCUCAAAUUUGAAAUCUGCGUAAGCCGAGUUGUAAUUUGAAGAUGGCUACUUUGGUAAUGGCUCUUGUCUAUGUUCCUUGGAACAGGACGUCACAGAGGGUGAGAAUCCCGUGCGAUGAGAUGUCCAUUACCGUGUAAAGUGCUUUCGAAGAGUCGAGUUGUUUAAUAA
rnacentral:rRNA from 1 species